UAUUAAUACCAAUAUUUAUUCAAUACAAAGACUAUUUUUUCCAUGUAUUAUACACCAAAAAUGAGUAAAUUUUUUGCUAUUUCGUCGUUCUCGGCUUCUCUACGGUAUGCGUCUAUGGUCUCAGGCAAGAUCUGACAAAUAUUUUACGAUCUAGCUACGAUAUCGUUCUUUGUGGUCUCCAGCGAAAUCUAACAAAUCUGAUUUUAUGGUUUUCGACCUCUCUAUGGUCUUCGUCGUUGUUUUCUAUUAUCUCCGGCAAGAUCUGAUGAAGCUUUUGCGAUAUAGCUACAAUAUCAUUCGUCUUCGUCUCUUUUCGAUGUCGUCAAUUUUAGUUUUCUAUUUGAUCUCUUCUUCGUUACUCUUUUAUCUUAGUUAUCUUGAGAUUUACUAUUUGGAGAAGUGAAUCGAUUAUGCUCAAUCAAUUGUGUUUAUUUAGUCAUCGUGCUCUAUUGUUUCUAAGGAUAUAUGAUUGCUCCACCUAGCUUUGAUGUUGCCAAUAUCAGAUUUUUCCUUGCAAUUUCAGAUUCUUCUCAGUCGUAAAGAGAUGUUGCUUUGGAUUUGUAAGUUUGUGGAGAAUGGAAACACAAUGAUGAAGGAGGCUGGGAUUUUGCAAUUGUUUCGAGAAGAAGAAGUAGAUGAGAAUACACAUAUAAUGUUUUAGGUGAUAAGGGACCAAUGGAAAGUGAGUGCGAGGUUUUUGCAAAGAAUUAGAGAUUGUGUUCAGAAAUGGUAACAUGCUGAAGGAUAGGUACGCGUGUGCUCAAGGUUGUUUGUGAAGUUGUGGAAGGUGAUAUAACUCGGCUGGUUAUUCAGUUUCAUUAUGAACUUAGUAAUUUUGGUGCUUAGGGAAUUGCUUCAGCUUUAUAAAGUCAUCCUAAAUUUGUGAAGGUCAUCCUGAAUUUAUGA